rnacentral:rRNA from 1 species
GACGUAGGGCGCGAGCGUUGUCCGGAUUUAUUGGGCGUAAAGAGCUCGUAGGCGGCUUGUCGCGUCGACUGUGAAAACCCGAGGCUCAACCUCGGGCGUGCACUCCAAACUCCCGGGCUCGAGGCAGGUAGGGGAGAUCGGAAUUCCUGGUGUAGCGGUGAAAUGCGCAGAUAUCAGGAGGAACACCGGUGGCGAAGGCGGAUCUCUGGGCCUGAUCUGACGCUGAGGCGCGAAAGCUAGGGGAGCGAACAGG